UCGUACCUAAUCGGUUUGUUUGCUGGUGGCCAGCCAUGUGGUUUGUUUGCCGUCCGUGGAAACUUCAGCCAGAGAGACAGCUGUUUUGAAAAUCUUCUCAUGGACGAAGAGCAGUGGCUCCAGGUUGCUUGAUGUGCCUACAUGCUCCUCUGGAUCCUCCUUGGUGUCCAUAGUCUUUGGAAGUGAUCAAGAUUCCACGCCACCACCAUCAUUAUGUGUUGGAAAACAGCAGAUGGCCUGGAACUUGUGAAGAAAUCAUAUGCACUGCACUCAAGUACUAUUGUGGGGUGACCUGUUGCCUGACAAGGAUGGGGACAGCACCUGGAGUCAGACGUGUUCUUUGACCCUUGAAGAGAAAACGACAACACUAAUGCGAAC